AACGAACGCUGGCGGCAUGCCUAACACAUGCAAGUCGAACGAGACCUUCGGGUCUAGUGGCGCACGGGUGCGUAACGCGUGGGAAUCUGCCCCUUGAUUCGGAAUAACAGUUAGAAAUGACUGCUAAUACCGGAUGAUGACGAAAGUCCAAAGAUUUAUCGCCGAGGGAUGAGCCCGCGUAGGAUUAGCUAGUUGGUGAGGUAAAGGCUCACCAAGGCGACGAUCCUUAGCUGGGUCUGAGAGGAUGAUCAGCCACACUGGGACUGAGACACGGGCCCAGACUCCUACGGGAGGCAGCAGUGGGGAAUAUUGGACAAUGGGCGAAAGCCUGAUCCAGCAAUGCCGCGUGAGUGAUGAAGGCCUUAGGGUCGUAAAGCUCUUUUACCAGGGAUGAUAAUGACAGUACCUGGAGAAUAAGCUCCGGCUAACUCCGUGCCAGCAGCCGCGGUAAU
rnacentral:rRNA from 1 species